GACUUCUGGUUUAAUGCACCUGGCCCGCGGCUCUUUAGGCUUGUGAGUGCCGGCGCGCGUUUACCAUCCUUCUGGGGAACGGGUCUACCCUUAACUGGGCCGGAUUCGGGAUCCAGAUCAUUUACUUUGAAAAAAUUAGAGUGUUUAAAGCAGGCUUUUUGCUAUGAAUACAUUAGCAUGGAAUAAUAAUUUAGGACUUUGGCCCUAUUUUGUUGGUUUCUAGGACUGAAGUAAUGAUUGAUAGGGAUAGUUGGGGGUGCUCGAAUUCAGCGGCCAGAGGUGAAAUUCUUGGAUUCGCUGAAGACGAACUCAUGCGAAAGCAUU
rnacentral:rRNA from 1 species